GCAGAAUGCUGGAUCCAUGAGAAGGGUUGAUUCAUUUUAUAUGCCUGAUGAUGAUAAUGUUUACAAUAUUGAACUUCGAGAACUUUUAAGCAGGAAAAUGAUUCUCAUUACCACAGGAUUAUUCAUUUUCUACCAAAAUUUAAUGCUUAAGCGAUUUAACUGGUUCCUUAAUGUUGUAGGAGGCGUGUCUCUAAUCUGCUUCAAAGUGGCUUCUGUGAGAGUUUAGACCAGCUAAUACAAUCUUACGUUGAAAGGCAAGGACACACUUCUGAAUGGUAUAUGGGUGGAACAUUAUCAUCCCCUGAUGAUAUGGAACACAAGCUGCUUCAAGAAUAUGACAAUCAAGAUGGACCUUAGAUAAAUAGUGAAUCUAAUUCCUUUGCCAUGACUUCACUACAUGUGGAACCUUCUCUGCAGUUGAUAGGAACAGAUUGAGAAGUCACACAUGAGUUGAGGAAUGACAUGGUUCGGCUUCAGCAGAGGAUGUUCAAUAAGUGCAUGGAAAUGCAAGUUGAGCUCCAACGCACGGUGUGGACACAUGUGCACAUGUUUAAAAUAUGCAGAAAAGUUUGUCCAGCGGGACGGAAAAUGUCCAAUGUGGCAGGCACCAGUAAUUGAGGUGAUCCGAACUUUUUCUAUACAGUAAUGUUGGUGCAGGACAUAACUUGGGUAUGUACACAUGCUCAAAUCUGAGCUAGCUUUUUCUGUACAUAGCUGGUAUAAAACUAAACAAAACGUGUGAAGCAGAGUGCAUCCGUUGCUGCUUUAGUUUGUCUGGGUAAAUGUGGUCUCUCGUCUAAGAGACCGUGUACAACAUAUAGUGUUGAGAUGUUUUUGUAUCUGUAUGGACAUUUUGGUCUUGUUACAAACAUUGAAGAAGUACUAUUGACUUAGUGCAAUCUGGAAUAUCUUCUCCGUAUUAAUUACGUCAACUUGUAUUAUUAUAUCUAAACUCUUCUCUGUUUUAAUUAUGUCAACCUGUAUUAGUAUAUCUAAACUGUAAUCUGCAAUCUGGAACUCAAUAAAUCUGCAAUCUGCAAACUGGAACUGUAAUCUGCAAUCUGGAACUCAAAAGAUCUGCAAUCUGCAAUUUGGAAUUUGGAACUUCUUGCCUCUUCUAUAACUGCUGCAAUCUGAUUUGUGUACAUUCUAAAUGUGUAGGGAAAUGGAGGUGAUCACAUUUGAAGGGUCGCCACAAAUCAAUUUGAUCUCGCUGAAGUGGAUGAUGAAGAGUUUUUGAACUAUUGUAAAAGUUUGAAUACAUUAUGUUUGAUUUUGUGAAAUAUAUUCAUUGCUAGAAUAUAUUGAACUAUUGUAAGAGUACUUUUUGCACUAUUGUGUACACAUAUUUAGAAUAUUGCUUUAUAAGUAUGUGUAUGUACACAAGACAUACUAUCUUUUGAAGUUUA